UACGUAGGGUGCAAGCGUUGUCCGGAAUUAUUGGGCGUAAAGAGCUCGUAGGCGGUUUGUCGCGUCGAAUGUGAAAACCCGGGGCUCAACCCCGGGCCUGCAUUCGAUACGGGCAGACUAGAGUUCGGUAGGGGAGUCUGGAAUUCCUGGUGUAGCGGUGAAAUGCGCAGAUAUCAGGAGGAACACCGGUGGCGAAGGCGGGUCUCUGGGCCGAUACUGAUGCUGAGGAGCGAAAGCGUGGGGAGCGAACAGG
rnacentral:rRNA from 1 species